GGGUUUUUUUUUUUUUUUUUUUUUUUACCAGAUCAUCAGUGCCUCCCCCUCGUCGCUAAACACAGCGGUCCUAAAUUUCAAUCCUCGCGUCAUCAGCGUUUCACUUCGCUGAUCAGAGGGUCUAAAACUCCCCGCCUGGCCGCCUUGCUUCCCGGUCCCAGGUCCCCGUCCCCGCCUUCUGGGCCUCUCCGGUCCUCAGGAAGACGGGGGGGGAAAGGGUUAACCGAGGCAAGCGGGGCUUACACGACUGAGGUUAGCACCGGGAGGAGCGGAGGUCACGGAAGCUGCCGCCCAAUGAACGAGAAGUUCAUACAGAAAGUCCGCUCUGCCGCGGGAAACCGAAGGGUCCCCAACAGCUCGGAAGAAGCCACUGCAGACCUCUCCUCAGCCCAUGUGUACAGCGGCAAUAGCCUCCCCUGAGUAAUGGCUUCCGCUUCACUUCCGCCUUCUAAGUCUCGCGGGACUGCACAGGCUGCCUAUAACUCGGAAACGGGAUUGCGAAGGCUUCUGGGAAAUGUAGUUCUCAAAGCUUGGAGCGGUAUGGCGGCGGUGCCCAGAGCCAAGAAAGUUCACGGCAGGACCCAGAAAAGUCGAAGUUAGCAUUUUGUGGUCCUUCUUUUACAAUACGUGAGCCAGAAAGUUAGGAGGCCCAGCGUCAAGGUGAGGGCGUUUACCUGGGCGAGGUGAGCAUGCAGGAGCACAAGAGACAUCCACGCCCACCUUGUAACGUGAGCUCUAAGCCCGACUCCACCAAGAGCCCCAGUCAAGAACUUAGAAGGGUAGAAGGAAAGAUUUGUUUUCCCCCUCCUCUACAUAUCCUAGAAGAGUGCUGACUGUUGAAUUUUAU
rnacentral:lncRNA from 1 species